CAUGCGCAUUCAGGUGGCCGGAAGCGCCGCUGCCCCGAGUCCUCCAGUAAAUGGAGACCCCGGUGAACCGGCAAUAUACCCGGGCCGAACGGUGAGGCGGCGAAGUUUGGGAAGAUACGGGUCGCAUCUGAAAGGCACCGGGGGACCAGAGGUCUGGUCAGUCCCUAGUUGAAGGGACUCCCUUCAUGCCUCUCCCCGCACACACAGACUCCGCCCCCUUGGAGCUGACCAACGGCAGCCCCACCUCACCCUCACUUCAGCCUCCAGAGCCAGGGACUGGGUCUGGGACAGACCGCACCCAAUGAAGGCGGGAGGUGGAGAAGCGGGUCCUGGAGACCCCCCAGACUUUCUGGGAUUCAGUCCAUCUCAACUGAGGAUACACCAUGAGGAGCCUGAGGUCCCAGAAGAAGAGGCGCGCGGAGGAGACGAGGCGGAGGCUCCGGCCCUGGUGCAGCUCAUCGACGAGCACGGGACGUACUCGACUGCGCGCCUGGUUCCCGACGUUUCUGCGGAGGAGCGCUCAGGAGCACCGCCGCCUCCACAUGGGCGAGCGCCCCUUCCCCUGCCCGUCCUGCCCGAAGCGCUUCAAGACCCCCUACAAGCUGCACCGCCACGAGCCUCUGCACACCCCUUCGCGGCCCUUCCCCUGCCGGGACUGCAGCAAGGCCUUCGCGGCCGGGCCGGCCCUGCUUCUGCACUGGCGGCAGCACUGUGAGAACAAGCCGCGCUCCUGCAGGGUGUGCAGCAAACGCUUCACCCACCGCCACAGGCUGCGGGUGCACAAGCGUGUGCAUACGGGCGAUCGGCCCUUCGUCUGCCCGCUGUGCACCAAGGCCUUCAAGCAGUCCAACGCGCUGGCCUCUCACCUCCGCGUGCAUUCGGUCGAGCGGCCCUACCCUAGCUAGGUGGCUAGCUGCUGCCAUCCUGGACAGCACAGGUCUAAGGCAUAGCACAGCAAAACCAUUGGUGCUGAGAUCUUCUAGUUGGUGGUGUAUGGCGUUUUAGGAGCAAUCAUUUUGCCAGACAUGGGCGUGACCUGCACUUCAGGUGGGCGUCCCAUCUCUGUUGGCUGCUUCUUGGUCCCCAUCUGUCAGAUCAACUUGUAAUGGUUGGAGGCCUUUCCACAGCAUCCACAGUGUUCCCUUCAACCCUAGCAUCAGCUCCAUGAGCCCUACCUUUGGAUGGACGUCCACUCUCAUAGACCUUGCCUUGCAGGUGGCUGGAAGUGUGAUAAGAUAGCUUAUGGGAUGGUGGCCACAGUGGUGUCCACAAUAUCUGAGUCGUUCCAUCCCAGCUCUGAGAUCAGCUCUGCAGACAGUAUUUUUUUAAGCCAGUAAUAGCCCAGGUAUCAUGCAGCUGAUUCCAAAGAUGUCCCUUGGGUGCUGAAGAGGUCCCCUGGGUACUGAAGGUGUCCCCUGGGUGCUAAAGAUGUCCCCUGGGUGGUUUGUGGGAUUUUUCAGAACAUCAGUAUUGCCUCCCACCCACCCACACCCUACUCUCAGCCCUUCACAGAUGUGCUCUCUGAAGAGAGAGCUGAACUUACGGACAAAGUUCAGCCCAAGGAAGUAUGUUGCGGUCACUGGGGCUGUGAUCUUGGUGAUUUGGGACAUUUCCAGAGCGCCUUCAACUCUCUUCUCCCACCUCUUGGUCUGGCCUCAGCUCCAUGGAUUCUCACCUUCUGAAUGCUGUUUCUUUCAAGUCCCCAGCUUCACCUCCAUAAUGUGUUAGAGGAUGUGAGCUCUGGCACCUCGCCUGGUGCACACAGGCAUUUAAUGAACAUUGUGGAAUCAAGAAGGGAUGAGUGGAUAUCUUAGGAUGGCCACAUCCCUUCGUGACCGCCUGCGCCCUCCUGCCGUGCUCUGCUCGAGGAAUUCUAUUCGUGGUCAAGACGUUUAGUCCCAGUAAACUCGAUCGUCGGGGCGAGGGGGGACCCCAAGGAAAUCACCAGCUUGGGCUGAGUCAGGACGAAGAAGAAUCCGCUCACAGCGGGGCACGGGCGCCACCUGGCGGCGGAGUUCUGCUAAGACAGAGCCGCUGGGAGACCCGGAACGUUUGCUUUGGGUGAAGUGGAAUCGACAUCUGAAAGGGAGUUGAUAUCGGGUGUUAUUAGUGGGCGGUCGUCUGAAAAUCAGUGUAUGAUGAUGGGUGCCAUCUACCAGUGGCUUCCAAACUUUUCUGGCCGUGACGCGCAGUAAGAAAUCAUUUCACAUUAACAUGGUUUCAUCAAAUACCACCCUGUACUGCAUGAUGUUUUUUAUUCAACUGUAUUCCUAUUUUUAAAUGUCGGUCAGAUCCCCUGAUCACACCUCCAGGGAUUCCCCCUCUGACUUCAAGGUGAACGGAGCUCAGAGAGGUGAAGACACUUGUCCAAAUCCAGACAGGUUGUAUGCGACAGUGCCAGUUUCUGCCUCAGUCCUAAAGCACAGAAAUCACUAAAUGCUCCAAAUUUCACUGCUAUUGAGUACAAUUUAAUUUAGUCCUUUCUCCAUUUUGCCAGUAAGAUUGAGCUGCACUGGUCUGCUGUUUUCUUAUUACUGUAUAAUGUAAAUGAAUGACAUUCCCAGGCUCAGGCUUAAAAAAUGCAAGUCUUCUUAUGUUACAAAAUGAAUCUGAGACAGCAAUAAAGAACCUACAUUGAGGUGGCACUCGCAGCAUCAUUGCCAACACCACUGUCACCAUCACCAUCGUCACCACGGUCGUCAUCAUAACCAUCACAUCCCCUUCUCUGUCACCGUCAGCAUCACAUCGUGAUCAUCAUCACUGUCACCACCUUCAUUCACCAUCAUCAUCGCCAUCCCCACUACGGCCAUCACCAACAUCACCACUGUCACCGCCACAAAAAUCACCCCCACUUGAAAGCAGGUAGCAGCCCACACUUUUUGUCUCCUAGCUACAGCCUUGGCCCAGCAAGCCUGCGUCCUCCAUCCCUCUCUCCACCCUGAGCCACAGGGGAUGUGACUAUGACCCCGAGGGUAGUGCUGUCUUACUUGGGAACCAAGAGGAUUCUGGGUUUGAGUCUCUGACUUUUCUUUAAGUGACCUCAGUUCUCUUCUGAGCUUGUUGCCACAAGGUUGACCAUCCAUAGAUGGUGAGCCCAGCCCCUGGACCAGGGGAGGCUCUGCCCAGUGUAGCUCUAGGACCCUUGAGGUGGCUGAGACUCGGGGUGGGGUGUUUAAGGCUGAACGCCUCCUGCUAUAGGGGUUUGAGACCACUUUGGGAGGGGAGACCUGAGGGUCUGGGUUCUCUGUACUCAUUGUCCUGUCUUAGGAGAGAAAGAGGAAGUCCCUCUGGGAUGGCAAACAGGGCCGGUCGUCAUGACUCUGCCCCCCGCCAAGAUGAGACUUCCCAGGUCCCAAAGGAGAAAGUGAGAAUGACAGCCUAACUUCCAGAAGUCCCAUCCUAGGGAGUUGCCAUUUCCAUCGCCUUCCUGAAAUACCCGUUUUUAAAUUUCUUGUUCACUGUUAUAUCCCCAGAGCCUAGUACCCUGUAUGGCACAUAGUAAGUACUCAAUAAAUGUUUGUCAAAUCAACGGGAAAAGAGAUGGAGAGUCCCCCUCCCCUGCAACUGUUAGGGAAGAGAUGGGAUUCUGCAUCAUAUCGUUAAUUCAAAGGAUCUGAUUUGAUACGGUGUGAAGGGGAGAACUUUUACAAAAUUAUUAACUUUGUACUGUGCACUAAAGAGACUUUGAAAAUUAAUAAUUCAUUCCAACAUCUCCUGUUCCUUAUGAAUAUUUCUCAGAUGUGAUUUCAACAAAAAUGUGUUCUACCAUGCCCCAAACUGUAGGAGUUGUGGUCAGGUCCAGUGACUAUUCCCUCCAGAAGAAGGCUUUCACCCUGCUGGGUUGUCUUGAUCAUUUGCUGCCCUGCUUUUAACAUCCUGCCUGUAAACUGAAUAAAUACAGGUAAGCUUUCUCAUUAGAUCACAAGAUCGAUAGCCCUUUCCCUCACGAUGGGAAACUAAAUCCCAUGACUCUGAUGGAUUAAUUAUCUUACAAACAGAACUAGUGAGCCCACGUUUGUACUAAAUUAGCAAACGGUGCCAGGCCCACCGAUGACAACUUCCGGGAUGGCUGAGAGUAGAAGGUGGCGACCCCUGCUCGCAGCCCCGACAACACACAGGCGAGAGUCACCUCCAAUUUUGUCCCAUUUUUUGAAUCCAAUUUUGAAGAUGGUUUUGUGUUCUUAAAGCAUUCUUAUAAAGCCUGUGUGUUGAACUGCAUUUGUGAGAACAAAAUGAGUUCUAGGUCCCUUAUUUUUCUUUAAUACUUUCUUUCUGUUGUUACUAUUUAUAUUGUUUGUAUGUCUUGAUAAAAGCUAAUUAAUCAACGACGUGGUGGGCAAUUUGGAGUUUUUUUCUUUCCUGUGCAAUGUUGAGGUAGCAAGGUUGACAUGCUGCUUUCAGUCCCCUCUCUUGAGAUAUGAAGAAUUCCAAAAUAUAAAUUAAAAAAUUUUAA